rnacentral:tRNA from 1 species
GGUGCUAUGGCCGAGUGGUUAGGCAAUGGUCUGCAAAACCAUGCACAGCAGUUCGAUUCUGCUUGGCACCUCCA